UCCUGUGCUCAUUUUUGUCCAUCUCAGUACAAACAAGAAAAGAAAACAGCUCUAAUCUUGCUAUUGUAUCCCACAUAUUGCAGUGGAUAGUUGUUGCAUUAAGCCCAGUUGACAUGUCAGGGCAGAUGCUCUAUAUCUGGAAAGGGCCGUGACAACGAGGACUUGGGCCUGACUAGUUACUCACUUUAGAACUAGCUUGUACUUUCAGUUGUUCCUUCCCCGCCUCUUCUGCCCUCACAGAAUCUCUAGCACUCACAGACCUCUCUCUCUUUUUGUCUUCACCUUCUCUUCUGUAGAUUGGCUUCGAACCCCCUACCUAUUAUGAUCCUCAGGGUACCCUAGUGAACGGUGGCAGAUUUAAUGGCAAUCAAGACGGUUGGACAGAGUGAUAAUGGAAACAGCUUUGUGACACCAGUCAUCUAUGACUUCUGAAUAUUUUCCACCUGAUCUCAGUCUAUAAUCCUAAAUCUACCCUGAUGAUGAAGAAUUUCGCUUAGGAACGCAGAGAUCCUUUGUCCUUUUCCCAGUGCAAUGCAA